CAGCAGCCGCGGGAAUACGUAGGGUGCGAGCGUUAAUCGGAAUUACUGGGCGUAAAGCGUGCGCAGGCGGUUAUGUAAGACAGUUGUGAAAUCCCCGGGCUCAACCUGGGAACUGCAUCUGUGACUGCAUAGCUAGAGUACGGUAGAGGGGGAUGGAAUUCCGCGUGUAGCAGUGAAAUGCGUAGAUAUGCGGAGGAACACCGAUGGCGAAGGCAAUCCCCUGGACCUGUACUGACGCUCAUGCACGAAAGCGUGGGGAGCAAACAGGAUUAGAUACCCGCGUAGUCCCUGUCUCUUAUCU
rnacentral:rRNA from 1 species